UACAGAGGUCCCAAGCGUUGUUCGGAUUCAUUGGGCGUAAAGGGUGCGUAGGCGGCCCGAUAAGUCCGCUGUGAAAGUCCAGGGCUCAACCCUGGAAUGCCGGUGGAUACUGUCGGGCUCGAAUCCGGAAGAGGUGAGUGGAAUUCCUGGUGUAGCGGUGAAAUGCGCAGAUAUCAGGAGGAACACCAAUGGCGAAGGCAGCUCACUGGGACGGUAUUGACGCUGAGACGCGAAAGCGUGGGGAGCAAACAGG
rnacentral:rRNA from 1 species